UGUAGAAUCAAAGUCACAAGCAAGGUGCCACUAUAGUCUACAGUCGGGCACUCAAGUCUGUCGCCUUCUGUGCUGCUCGUGUAGCUUUCUGGGCUGACGAGCUGUGAGGCCAUGCUUCCAGGACCUUUGAUUAGGCCUUGACCGAUGGACAUUUAACAUGGACCAUGCACUGCAGAAGCUGUGGCAAUUCAUGGCGUCACGGCGUGCUUUUCCGCCGUGGGAAGGAGGCGUCGUCACCAGACCUUCGUCUGUGCGCGCUUCCUGGCUUGCUGAGAGUCUCCACUCGCGAUCCGUGGACUGACCGUGGUCUCCCGGAGAGGGGUCCUUCGUUGGCGAAGCUGGUCGAUGGCCGGCAGUUCCUCCAUGCCCUGGUGUCUGGCAAGGCCAGCCGACGCUUUUGUUGGCACUCUGCGCCAACAGAGCAAUUAUAUUUUGUUUGGAAUAAUAUUUUAAAAUAGAACAUAAUAAUCAUGAACAGAAGACCUAAAUAAAAUGUAUG